ensembl:snRNA U2 U2 spliceosomal RNA
AUCGCUUCUCGGCCUUUGGCUAAGAUCAAGUGUAGUAUCUGUUCUUAUCAGUUUAAAGAGAAAGUAGUGACUGUUAAUAAGUUAGGAUAGACACGUCUUUAUGUUAAUGAAAUAAUAUUUUAUUAAUUUAUUUUUAUAUUCCAAUCCCAGUUCCCCCUCCCUCC